AAGCGAGCGCAGGCGGAAAAAUAAGUCUAAUGUGAAAGCCCUCGGCUUAACCGAGGAAUUGCAUCGGAAACUGUUUUUCUUGAGUGCAGAAGAGGAGAGUGGAACUCCAUGUGUAGCGGUGGAAUGCGUAGAUAUAUGGAAGAACACCAGUGGCGAAGGCGGCUCUCUGGUCUGCAACUGACGCUGAGGCUCGAAAGCAUGGGUAGCGAACAGGAUUAGAUACCCUGGUAGUCCAUGCCGUAAACGAUGAGUGCUAAGUGUUGGGAGGUUUCCGCCUCUCAGUGCUGCAGCUAACGCAUUAAGCACUCCGCCUGGGGAGUACGACCGCAAGGUUGAAACUCAAAGGAAUUGACGGGGGCCCGCACAAGCGGUGGAGCAUGUGGUUUAAUUCGAAGCAACGCGAAGAACCUUACCAGGUCUUGACAUCUAGUGCAAUCUGUAGAGAUACGGAGUUCCCUUCGGGGACGCUAAGACAGGUGGUGCAUGGCUGUCGUCAGCUCGUGUCGUGAGAUGUUGGGGUUAAGUCCCGCAACGAGCGCAACCCUUGUUAUUAGUUGCCAGCAUUAAGUUGGGCACUCUAAUGAGACUGCCGGUGACAAACCGGAGGAAGGUGGGGAUGACGUCAAGUCAUCAUGCCCCUUAUGACCUGGGCUACACACGUGCUACAAUGGGCAGUACAACGAGAAGCAAGCCUGCGAAGGCAAGCGAAUCUCUGAAAGCUGUUCUCAGUUCGGACUGCAGUCUGCAACUCGACUGCACGAAGCUGGAAUCAGCUAGUAAUCGCAGGUCAGCAUACUGCGGUGAAUACGUUCCCG
rnacentral:rRNA from 1 species